CCUACGGGAGGCUGCAGUGAGGAAUACUGGUCAAUGGACGAGAGUCUGAACCAGCCAAGUAGCGUGAAGGAUGACUGCCCUAUGGGUUGUAAACUUCUUUUAUAUGGGAAUAAAAUGUUCCACGUGUGGGAUUUUGUAUGUACCAUAUGAAUAAGGAUCGGCUAACUCCGUGCCAGCAGCCGCGGUAAUACGGAGGAUCCGAGCGUUAUCCGGAUUUAUUGGGUUUAAAGGGAGCGUAGGUGGAUUGUUAAGUCAGUUGUGAAAGUUUGCGGCUCAACCGUAAAAUUGCAGUUGAAACUGGCAGUCUUGAGUACAGUAGAGGUGGGCGGAAUUCGUGGUGUAGCGGUGAAAUGCUUAGAUAUCACGAAGAACUCCGAUUGCGAAGGCAGUUCACUGGACUGCAACUGACACUGAGGCUCGAAAGUGUGGGUAUCAAACAGGAGUAGAUACCCUUGUAGUC
rnacentral:rRNA from 1 species